rnacentral:rRNA from 1 species
AACGAACGCUGGCGGCAGGCCUAAAACAUGCAAGUCGAACGAACCGCAAGGUUAGUGGCGCACGGGUGAGUAACACGUGGGAAUAUGCCUUUCACUACGGAACAACGUCGGGAAACUAACGCUAAUACCGUAUAAUGUCUCCGGACCAAAGAUUUAUCGGUGAAAGAUUAGCCCGCGUCUGAUUAGCUAGUUGGUGAGGUAAUGGCUCACCAAGGCGACGAUCAGUAGCUGGUCUGAGAGGAUGAUCAGCCACACUGGAACUGAGACACGGUCCAGACUCCUACGGGAGGCAGCAGUUAGGAAUAUUGGACAAUGGGGGCAACCCUGAUCCAGCCAUGCCGCGUGAGUGACGAAGGCCUUCGGGUUGUAAAGCUCUUUCGGCUGUGAAGAUAAUGACAGUAGCAGAAGAAGAAGCCCCGGCUAAAUUCGUGCCAGCAGCCGCGGUAA